rnacentral:rRNA from 1 species
CUCCUUUGACGUUAGCGGCGGACGGGUGAGUAACACGUGGGUAACCUACCUAUAAGACUGGGAUAACUUCGGGAAACCGGAGCUAAUACCGGAUAAUAUUUCGAACCGCAUGGUUCGAUAGUGAAAGAUGGUUUUGCUAUCACUUAUAGAUGGACCCGCGCCGUAUUAGCUAGUUGGUAAGGUAACGGCUUACCAAGGCGACGAUACGUAGCCGACCUUAGAGGGUGAUCGGCCACACUGGAACUGAGACACGGUCCAGACUCCUACGGGAGGCAGCAGGC